rnacentral:tRNA from 1 species
CCGCCCUUAGCUCAGUUGGAUAGAGCAACGGCCUUCUAAGCCGUGGGUCGGGGGUUCGAUUCCCUCAGGGCGGG